UUUUACGUAUGCCUGACUGUGCUCUACCGCGUGAGUCGGAGGAAGGCUCUUGGGUUGUAAACCUCUCUUUCUCAGGGAAUAAAAAAAUGAAGGUACCUGAGGAAUAAGCAUCGGCUAACUCCGUGCCAGCAGCCGCGGUAAUACGGAGGAUGCAAGCGUUAUCCGGAAUGAUUGGGCGUAAAGCGUCCGCAGGUGGCACUGUAAGUCUGCUGUUAAAGAGCAAGGCUCAACCUUGUAAAGGCAGUGGAAACUACAGAGCUAGAGUACGUUCGGGGCAGAGGGAAUUCCUGGUGUAGCGGUGAAAUGCGUAGAGAUCAGGAAGAACACCGGUGGCGAAAGCGCUCUGCUAGGCCGUAACUGACA
rnacentral:rRNA from 1 species